UACGGGGGGGGGCAAGCGUUGUUCGGAAUUACUGGGCGUAAAGGGCGCGCAGGCGGCCGGCCAAGUCAGGCGUGAAAGCCCCGGGCUUAACCUGGGAAUUGCGUCUGGGACUGGUUGGCUAGAGAUCGGGAGAGGAGAGUGGAAUUCCCAGUUGUAGAGGUGAAAUUCGAUAGAUAUUAGGAAGAACACCAGUGGCGAAGGCGGCUCACUGGUCCGGUACUGACGCUGAGGUGCGAAAGCGUGGGGAGCAAACAGG
rnacentral:rRNA from 1 species